GAUGAAGAACGCAGCGAAAUGCGAUAAGUAAUGUGAAUUGCAGAAUUCAGUGAAUCAUCGAGUCUUUGAACGCACAUUGCGCCCCUUGGUAUUCCGAGGGGCACGCCUGUCCGAGCGUCAUUACCGACCCCUCGAGCCCACCUUGCGCUCGGUGUUGAGCCCCGCCCCCCGCACGUCGCGGGGCGGGCUUCGAAAGUUGUCGGCGGUGACGGCGUGGUCCCGAGCGUGAUGCAUUCGCGCACUCGUGCGGCCUCGCCCGCCCUGUCCACACUGACCACACUCAAGACGUUGACCUCGGAUCAGGCGGGGAUACCCGCUGAACUUAAGCAUAUCAAUAAGCGGAGGA
rnacentral:misc_RNA from 1 species